AGAGUGAACGCUGGCGGCAGGCCUAACACAUGCAAGUCGAACGGCAGCACAGUAAGAGCUUGCUCUUAUGGGUGGCGAGUGGCGGACGGGUGAGGAAUACAUCGGAA
rnacentral:rRNA from 1 species